AACUACAGCAGCUUCAAUAACUCCAGCAGCUCCAAUGACAACUACAGUAGCAGGAGGCCAAACAACAACUAUAAGGCCUACAAUGAAAGACCUUUGUGGUUCCGAUCCAUGUGACAAAGCAACCUCAAAGUGCAAACCUACAGUGGGCAGUUUCGAAUGCACAUGUUUAGAUGGUUAUAUUAAAACAAACUACAGUGAAAGAUUAUGCAUGGCAUGUCCCUCUGGUUACAAAGCUGAGAACAACAAAUGUAAACC